UGGAGAGUUUGAUCCUGGCUCAGAUUGAACGCUGGCGGCAGGCCUAACACAUGCAAGUCGAGCGGAUGACGGGAGCUUGCUCCUUGAUUCAGCGGCGGACGGGUGAGUAAUACCUAGGAAUCUGCCUGAUAGUGGGGGACAACGUUUCGAAAGGAACGCUAAUACCGCAUACGUCCUACGGGAGAAAGCAGGGGACCUUCGGGCCUUGCGCUAUCAGAUGAGCCUAGGUCGGAUUAGCUAGUUGGUGAGGUAAUGGCUCACCAAGGCGACGAUCCGUAACUGGUCUGAGAGGAUGAUCAGUCACACUGGAACUGAGACACGGUCCAGACUCCUACGGGAGGCAGCAGUGGGGAAUAUUGGACAAUGGGCGAAAGCCUGAUCCAGCCAUGCCGCGUGUGUGAAGAAGGUCUUCGGAUUGUAAAGCACUUUAAGUUGGGAGGAAGGGCAGUAAGCUAAUACCUUGCUGUUUUGACGUUACCGACAGAAUAAGCACCGGCUAACUCUGUGCCAGCAGCCGCGGUA
rnacentral:rRNA from 1 species